CUACGGGGGGCAGCAGUGGGGGAUAUUGCACAAUGGGGGAAACCCUGAUGCAGCAACGCCGCGUGAAGGAAGACGGUUUUCGGAUUGUAAACUUCUAUCAGCAGGGAAGAAAAUGACGGUACCUGACUAAGAAGCCCCGGCUAACUACGUGCCAGCAGCCGCGGUAAUACGUAGGGGGCAAGCGUUAUCCGGAAUUACUGGGUGUAAAGGGUACGUAGGCGGCUGAUCAAGUCAGAUGUGAAAGCCCGGAGCUCAACUCCGGGACUGCAUUUGAAACUGGUCGGCUAGAGUGCAGGAGAAGAAAGUGGAAUUCCUAGUGUAGCGGUGAAAUGCGUAGAUAUUAGGAAGAACACCAGUGGCGAAGGCGGCUUUCUGGACUGUAACUGACGCUGAGGUACGAAAGCGUGGGGAGCGAACAGGAUUAGAUACCCGCGUAGUC
rnacentral:rRNA from 1 species